UUCAUUUUUAGCCAUUUAGUUCUCAUGGCUCCGUUCCAGGACUCUUUAAUUUGCCAGUAGCUGUUUUUCCUACACAGAUUACAGGAGUAAUUCAUCAGUGAAUGUUUCACUCAGUGGUCCCAUCUAAUAAUGGAGCCUGGAGUGCAGGAAGCUGGUAUUUGUUUCACAUUGAUGCUAAUGGUGUGAGAUCUUUCUGCUGUUUGCUGUCUGGGAAAUAAAGAUAGUACAGCUCAUCGUAAGAGGUACUGAGCUGGAAAGUGAACCAGUGAGUCUGAGUCUCAAAGUGCAUCCCUAGCUGAAGACCUGGACUUGGAAUCCACAGACAAAUGCUAUUAUCUGAAACCCUAAAGUGGAAUAACAUUGCUCAAAGAAUACAGAAGGUAUCUGUUACAAUAAUGGAAAACUGACUGACACAAGAAAUUUUCUGAUCAGACACAUGAAGCAUAUGAGGAAGCAAUCAAGUGAAUAUUUAGGGAAAAGCCAUUUAAGCAGAGGGAAAGCAUCCUGGGAUGUCUAUGCUGGGAUAUUUUGGUGAAUUUGAGAAAAAAGCGCAGGAGGAAAAAAGGAUUUGAAACUGCUUGAGACUAAAAUGAUAAAAGAAAUCAAUGAAGUAAGACACAGACCACCUGAAAAUCUUCAGUGGAAGCACAAGUUGAGACAUGAUGUCAGAGAGGCAUUCUCUUCACGGAGAAGGCAUAUUAAGCUAUGCUAGAGCUGACUGCUCUUCCAAGCACUGUUGCUAGAUGCUUAGAAGAAUAAAAUCUUCCCUUCUGGUUGACCUUAAAAGCUGUCUUAUGCCAGGCCUUAAAUGUGAAAAUGUGAACAUAAAACAUUUUUUCAUUGAUCCCAUAAAAAA